rnacentral:rRNA from 1 species
CUACGGGACGCUCCAGUGAGGAAUAUUGCACAAUGGAGGAAACUCUGAUGCAGCAACGCCGCGUGGAGGAUGACGCAUUUCGGUGUGUAAACUCCUUUUAUAUGUCAAGAAAAUGACGGUAGCAUAUGAAUAAGCUCCGGCUAACUCCGUGCCAGCAGCCGCGGUAAUACGGAGGGAGCAAGCGUUACUCGGAAUCACUGGGCGUAAAGGACGCGUAGGCGGGUUGGAAAGUCAGGUGUGAAAUCCUACAGCUUAACUGUAGAACUGCACUUGAAACUUCUAAUCUAGAGUAUGGGAGGGGGAGAUGGAAUUAGUGGUGUAGGGGUAAAAUCCGUAGAUAUCACUAGGAAUACCUAAAGCGAAGGCGAUCUCCUGGAACAUUACUGACGCUAAGGCGUGAAAGCGUGGGGAGCAAACAGGAUUAGAUACCCUAGUAGUC